rnacentral:tRNA from 1 species
AUUUUCUUAGUAUAACUAGUACAUUUAACUUCCAAUUAAAAAGUCUAAAACUUUAGAGAAAAUA